GCAAGCGUUAAAACUGUAGCAGCUUAAAUAGAAUGAGAUACUGGACUUCGAGUGUCGUGUAGAUUCCUCGCACCACCAUACUACAGUGGAUCGAUUGAGUAAUCUGUGAGUAACCUUGACAUCGAUGAAGGGACCGAGAAUACUAAGGAUUGUUGAGUUGCAGAUAAUGGUCACUGAGUAAGGUGAUGCAGAACAGGAAGCUGUGAGUGUUGUAUUAUCACUAUACUCAACAUCAUUCAGGAAGGAGGACAGUAUCCUUGUUGGUGGUGAAUAUGCGAAAUUCUUUUGUACUUAAAUUGGUCGCCUUGAGUAUUCUACUGUGUGUCUUACUCAAUGUUAUCAUAAAUGAUGGAGGAUCGUUCUUGCUGAUUGAACGAUCGGACAGUCUCACAGAAUUCAAGAAAAGUUUUCCAGAUCCUGUCAAUAUAGCACUCCCUGAAAACGAGAUGCCUUCCCUGUCAUCAUUAUUUCAGAAUUUUUCCUCAAUUGAAGAUGAAGUCCUUUACAUAUACCAGAAAUAUAUACUGGCAAACUGGACUCCUAAGCCAAAACUUCUGAAAAUGAUGAGACGCGAGAUCUUCCGUUCGUCUUCUUCAACCCAAGUUGACCAGAUGACGUUGGCGUUAAGUAACGUCGAUAACAAUACCAUAUUGCCGUACUUUGAACCCAA